rnacentral:lncRNA from 1 species
AUAUAUAUAUACACGUAUAAUAAAUCUUUCUAUGUUUUCAAUUUAUUUUAUUUCUAUAAAAAUCUUAUUUUUAUUUCUUUAUUUUCCUAACUUUGCUAGACUCAAACAUAUAUAAAUCACAUAACUAAACUCAAAAUCUCAAACUCACAGAUUAACCAAAAGGAAAAGAAUUAAAACUUACCUAGAAAUAGCUUGAGACUACUAGGCUUUAAAGACUUUUAGGCCUCCUUUUGUGUGCUACACGGAUCUAGCCUUUUUCCUUUAAUACACUUCCCAAGCCUCCAGCUCUCCCUUUAUUCUCUAAACAGCACUCUUUUACUCCACUUUUGCUUCUAAAACCAAAA